rnacentral:tRNA from 2 species
AUUUCUAAAACUGUUUAUAUAGUUUAAUAAAAACAUUACAUUUUCAGUGUAAAAUUAAAUCUUAUUUUAUAA